rnacentral:rRNA from 1 species
UAUGGAGGGUGCAAGCGUUGUUCGGAAUCACUGGGCGUAAAGGGCGUGUAGGCGGUCCGCUAAGUCUGAUGUGAAAGCCCGAGGCUUACCCUCGGAAGUGCAUUGGAGACUGGCGGACUGGAGUCCCGGAGAGGAGGGUGGAAUUCCUGGUGUAGCGGUGAAAUGCGCAGAUAUCAGGAGGAACACCGGUGGCGAAGGCGACAUCCUGGACCGGUAUUGACGCUGAGGCGCGAAAGCCAGGGGAGCAAACGGG